UACGUAGGGGGCGAGCGUUGUCCGGAUUUAUUGGGCGUAAAGAGCUCGUAGGUGGUUUGGUAAGUCGGAUGUGAAAUCUCCAGGCUCAACCUGGAGGGGUCAUUCGAUACUGCCAUGACUAGAGUUCGGUAGGGGAGUGUGGAAUUCCUGGUGGAGCGGUGAAAAUGCGCAGAUAUCAGGAGGAACACCGGCGGCGAAGGCGGGUCUCUGGGCCGUAACUGACGCUGAGGAGCGAAAGCGUGGGGAGCGAACAGG
rnacentral:rRNA from 1 species